CACCCCCAAGUUGUAUUACUUUUCCCUUCUGGACAAAAUAUCAAGAUUUAUCGUGGGGAAAAACUAUCCAUACUUUGUAAAUUAUGUAAAUAAAUAACUCCAUAAAAUGUUGGUGAUUGCCUCAUUUUGGGGUUUCAUUUUCAUUUUGUCCUAAGCAGUGAGUGUGUUAAUUUAAGCUUUGUCUAUUUUUCUUCUAGGUAAACAUCAACUGACAACUCAGGGAAAGAAUUGCGACCAUCAAGUUUCACAUCUCCUGAAAAGUAGUCCAAGUUCAAGGUAAUGUUAUGUUGAUAUGUUUAAUGUCGUAAAUUGUCAAUGUGUACAUCCAUUUUGUGCAUUUAGAAAGUAUAUUGUGUUCUAUUCUACAGACAGAAAUGUAGAUACAGCCCCUGUAGUUCUAAGAAAGGAGCUGGUCUAGAGAGGGACGCUAGCUCCUCAGACAAUAGGAGCAGUCACAUGAUGGAAUCGCCAGAGAUGAGUAACAACAACAGAGGUGGUCACCAUGGCGAUAGCCCCGCCCUGCGGCGCUUGGGUGAACCCAGCAGCUCGGACUGGAACAGCUCCGACAACCUGACUGGGAAUCUCUCAGAACCAGAGGACAGUGCCUACCGCUCCAGCAACAGCAAGCCCCUUCUGUCCGAGUUGCCCUGUCCCCCCCACCACCUGGCCUUCCACCAACCCCCCCAUAUCGAACUGGAAGAGCCCUCAUCUCAACAUCAGCCCAUCACGCCACCACUGCCUCACCCCAAAGCCGCCCAGCGAGCUUCCCCUCACCAGGGGGAUGUUGGCCGCCACUGCUUCCAUCCCAGGCUACUCCAGGAGCCCUCCCAGACCAGCCCCCGGCCCAGCGUCCAGCCCACCUCGGCCUCACAUACACCCAGCCCCAACCGGAGGUCGGAAUCCAAUGGCCCUCUGCAGAGGCCCUCGUCGGGUGCCAGCUCCAAGUCGGGCUCGGACCCAGAGAGGAGUAACCCAUCAUCGGGCGAAAGUGAGGAGAGGCUGCCCAUCUGCAGGCCACCUGGAGCCGAGUCAGCGGCAGCCCAAGGGGUUUCCCUCACCACGUACUUCAGCGUGGACAAUUGCAUGACGGACACAUACAGACUUAAGUACCAUCACCAGCGACCCCUCCUACUCUCGGCUAUUGUGCCGCGAGCACCGACGGAGCCCCGAGAACAUCCCAGCCACCACCUGCACCCCGCAAACACACACUCCAUGCUAGACCCACCCAAAACCCGGCCUGAUGCAGGCCAUAACAGCAAUAAGCCCACUGCAAAAUGGAACCCAGUGACAGCCAAAGCACUGGAUGAGCGUGGCUAUUUGUGAUGGUAUUACCUGGUAAGUGAUACACAGUUCCUCUUUUCAGCACUUUUUUAAUGGCUCCGCUACCAGAUCCUUCUAUGAAUACAGAUGCAGUUUAUUUUGUACAAGCAUCACUGCACGGCAUGCUGCACUCGCCUGAGUCAAAAUCAGUGAGAGAAGGCCAGACACAAAAUCAUUUAAUUUCCCUGGAGAUGAUAAUGCAUGACAUUUCUUAUUUUAAUUUAAUGCAGUAAAAAACAUAUAUUCAUCUGUAUACCAGAAUUUAAGCUGUUCAGUACCACUACUCAGGACAUGCACUGACUUUG
rnacentral:lncRNA from 1 species